rnacentral:rRNA from 1 species
CAAAAAGUUAAAGAACCUUAUAGACACUCUAACAUUCUUGCAGAAUACAUCGCCUUCCAAUUAAAAAAUAGAGUUUCAUUCCGAAAGGCAAUGAAAAAACCAUUGAGUUAACUUAAAAAAGCAGAUAUAAGGGGGAGUAAAAGCAAAAAUUGUGGUCGUCUCGGAGGAAAAGAAAUUGCACGCGCCGAAUCCAUUAAAAAGGGUAGACUUUCCCUUCAAAGAAAUCACGCUAAACUUGAUUACUGUUGCUAUCCAAUUCGAACUAUCUAUUCAGUAUUAAGUGUAAAAGUUUGGAUAUUCGUAGAAAAAGAUUACCGUGGCCAGCUAUCGUUAUCGUCAAAGGAGCGAGAUUAG